AUUGAACGCUGGCGGCAUGCCUUACACAUGCAAGUCGAACGGUAACAGGUUAAGCUGACGAGUGGCGAACGGGUGAGUAAUGUAUCGGAACGUGCCCAGUCGUGGGGGAUAACUGCUCGAAAGAGCAGCUAAUACCGCAUACGACCUGAGGGUGAAAGCGGGGGAUCGCAAGACCUCGCGCGAUUGGAGCGGCCGAUAUCAGAUUAGGUAGUUGGUGAGGUAAAGGCUCACCAAGCCGACGAUCUGUAGCUGGUCUGAGAGGACGACCAGCCACACUGUGACUGAGACACGUCCCAGACUCCUACGGGAGGCAGCAGUGGGGGAUGUUGGACAAUGGGCGCAAGCCUGAUCCAGCCAUGCCGCGUGCGGGAAGAAGGCCUUCGGGUUGUAAACCGCUUUUGUCAGGGAAGAAAAGGUUCUGGCUAAUACCUGGGACUCAUGACGGUACCUGAAGAAUAAGCACCGGCUAACUACGUGCCAGCCGCCGCCGUAAAAC
rnacentral:rRNA from 1 species